UUUUUUCGUUUUUUGAUUCGUUUUAUUUUUUCAAAAGCAAAAAAAAUCAUCAAAAUUGUUGUUAGUUUUCGGUCACAUAAGCAGA
rnacentral:ribozyme from 13 species